rnacentral:rRNA from 1 species
GAUGAACGCUGGCGGCGUGCCUAAUGCAUGCAAGUCGAGCGAACAGACGAGGAGCUUGCUCCUUCGACGUUAGCGGCGGACGGGUGAGUAACACGUAGGUAACCUACCUAUAAGACUGGGAUAACUUCGGGAAACCGGAGCUAAUACCGGAUAAUAUUUCGAACCGCAUGGUUCGAUAGUGAAAGAUGGCUUUGCUAUCACUUAUAGAUGGACCUGCGCCGUAUUAGCUAGUUGGUAAGGUAACGGCUUACCAAGGCAACGAUACGUAGCCGACCUGAGAGGGUGAUCGGCCACACUGGAACUGAGACACGGUCCAGACUCCUACGGGAGGCAGCAGUAGGGAAUCUUCCGCAAUGGGCGAAAGCCUGACGGAGCAACGCCGCGUGAGUGAUGAAGGUCUUCGGAUCGUAAAACUCUGUUAUUAGGGAAGAACAAACGUGUAAGUAACUGUGCACGUCUUGACGGUACCUAAUCAGAAAGCCACGGCUAACUACGUG